CCUACGGGUGGCAGCAGUGGGGAAUAUUGCACAAUGGGGGAAACCCUGAUGCAGCGACGCCGCGUGAGUGAAGAAGUAUUUCGGUACGUAAAGCUCUAUCAGCAGGGAAGAAAAUGACGGUACCUGACUAAGAAGCCCCGGCUAACUACGUGCCAGCAGCCGCGGUAAUACGUAGGGGGCAAGCGUUAUCCGGAUUUACUGGGUGUAAAGGGAGCGUAGACGGUAGCGCAAGUCUGGAGUGAAAUCCCAUGGCUUAACCAUGGAACUGCUUUGGAAACUGUGCAGCUAGAGUGCAGGAGAGGUAAGCGGAAUUCCUAGUGUAGCGGUGAAAUGCGUAGAUAUUAGGAGGAACACCAGUGGCGAAGGCGGCUUACUGGACUGUAACUGACGUUGAGGCACGAAAGCGUGGGUAUCGAACAGGAUUAGAUACCCGAGUAGUC
rnacentral:rRNA from 1 species